UAUUCCAGCGUUAACACGCUGCAUUUUUUCCAGAUAGACUGUUUUGCUAGCAAAAGUAACUUGCUUAAUUAGUGAGAUGAUCAAGGUAACCUAGUGGCUAUUGAUCAGCUGGAAUAGAUACACCAGUUUCAUCUCCCUGUGGAGUAUAGAAAACCACUGUCUCAGUGGGGCUGCCUCAUCUUCCACACCUGACUGGGUCCCUAGAUGCUGAUGGAAAGGAAUACAGACCCUUUCACCUCAUCUCUGAAAUUUCCUAUGGGUACUUCCAGCACUCCACAGAUAAGAAUACUAAGCAUCUCCAGCGUAUCUGCUGACAUAGAAAUACAACUGUGGAGCUGCUUCCUAGAGUAACUGAACGAAGGCUCUUGACAUCACAAAUA